rnacentral:rRNA from 1 species
GACGAACGCUGGCGGCGUGCUUAACACAUGCAAGUCGAACGAAGAGCGAUGGAAGCUUGCUUCUAUCAAUCUUAGUGGCGAACGGGUGAGUAACGCGUAAUCAACCUGCCCUUCAGAGGGGGACAACAGUUGGAAACGACUGCUAAUACCGCAUACGAUCUAACCUCGGCAUCGAGGAUAGAUGAAAGGUGGCCUCUACAUGUAAGCUAUCACUGAAGGAGGGGAUUGCGUCUGAUUAGCUAGUUGGAGGGGUAACGGCCCACCAAGGCGAUGAUCAGUAGCCGGUCUGAGAGGAUGAACGGCCACAUUGGGACGGAGACACGGCCCAGACUCCUACGGGAGGCAGCAGUGGGGAAUCUGCCGCAAUGGACGAAAGUCGGACGGAGCAACGCCGCGUGAGGGAUGACGGCCUUCGGGUUGUAAAGCUCUGUUAAUCGGGACGAAAGGCCUUCUUGCGAAUAGUUAGAAGGAUUGACGGUACCGGAAUAGAAAGCCACGGCUAACUACG